GGCUCAGACAGCCAGGAUGUUGGCUUAGAAGCAGCCAUCAUUUAAAGAAAGCGUAAUAGCUCACUGGUCGAGUCGGCCUGCGCGGAAGAUUUAACGGGGCUAAGCUAUACACCGAAGCUGCGGCAAUGUGCUUAUGCACAUUGGGUAGGGGAGCGUUCUGUAAGCCGUUGAAGGUGCAUUGUAAAGUGUGCUGGAGGUAUCAGAAGUGCGAAUGCUGACAUGAGUAACGACAAAGGGAGUGAAAAACUCCCUCGCCGGAAGACCAAGGGUUCCUGUCCAACGUUAAUCGGGGCAGGGUGAGUCGACCCCUAAGGCGAGGCCGAAAGGCGUAGUCGAUGGGAAACGGGUUAAUAUUCCCGUACUUCUUACUAUUGCGAUGGGGGGACGGAGAAGGCUAGGUGAGCCUGGCGACGGUUGUCCAGGUCCAAGUACGUAGGUGGAUGAAUUAGGCAAAUCCGGUUCAUCAUUAACACUGAGAUACGAUGUCGAGCUACUACGGUAGCGAAGUCAUUGAUGCCAUGCUUCCGGGAAAAGCCUCUAAGCUUCAGAUAGUAAGAAAUCGUACCCCAAACCGACACAGGUGGUCGGGUAGAGAAUACCAAGG
rnacentral:rRNA from 1 species